rnacentral:rRNA from 1 species
AUUGAACGCUGGCGGCAGGCCUAACACAUGCAAGUCGAGCGAGCGGCGGACGGGUGAGUAACGUAUGGGGACUGCCCGAUGGAAGGGGAUAACUACUGGAAACGGUAGAUAAUACCGCAUACCAUCAGAUAACCCAUAUGGGAUUAGCUUGUAGGUGAGGUAACGGCUCACCUGGGCGACGAUCCCUAGCUGGCCUGAGAGGAUGAUCGGCCCCACGGGGCUGGAGCAAGGGCCCAGACUCCUACGGGGGCAGCAGGGGGGAAUAUUGGACAAUGGGCACAAGCCGGAUGAAGAACUGCCGGGUGGAUGAGGAAGGCUUUCGGGUUGUAAAGUACUUUCAGUCGGGAGGCGUUACCGACAGAAGAAGCCCCGGCUAACUCCGUGCCAGCAGCCGCGGUAAUAC